AGGACGAACGCUGACGGCGCGCUUAACACAUGCAAGUCGAGCGAGAACCGAAGCCUUCGGGCAUCGGGGAAAGCGGCGAACGGAUGAGUAACACGUGGGCAACCUGCCCCUAGCACUGGGAUAACUCCGGGAAACCGGGCUAAUACCGGAUAUGACCUUCGAGGGCAUCCUCUUUGGUGGAAAGGAUUCCGGCUAGGGAUGGGCCCGCGGCCUAUCAGCUUGUUGGUGGGGUAACGGCCUACCAAGGCGACGACGGGUA
rnacentral:rRNA from 1 species